rnacentral:rRNA from 1 species
UACGGGGGGGGCAAGCGUUGUUCGGAAUUACUGGGCGUAAAGGGCUCGUAGGUGGCCAACUAAGUCAGACGUGAAAUCCCUCGGCUUAACCGGGGAACUGCGUCUGAUACUGGAUGGCUUGAGUUUGGGAGAGGGAUGCGGAAUUCCAGGUGUAGCGGUGAAAUGCGUAGAUAUCUGGAGGAACACCGGUGGCGAAGGCGGCAGCCUGGACCAACACUGACACUGAGGAGCGAAAGCCAGGGGAGCAAACGGG